GACAAACGCUGGCGGAAUGUAUUAGGCAUGCAAGUCGUACGAACCUUCGGGUUAGUGGCGAACGGGUGAGUAACACGUGGGUAACCUGCCUCGUAGUGGGGAAUAACUCGCCGAAAGGCGAGCUAAUACCGCAUAACACCCCCGGUGAGAAUCCGGGUGGUAAAAGCUCCGGCGCUACGAGAGGGGCCCGCGGCCGAUUAGCUAGUUGGUGGGGUAAUAGCCUACCAAGGCGACGAUCGGUAGCUGGUCUGAGAGGAUUGGUCAGCCACACGGGGACUGAGAUACGGCCCCGACUCCUACGGGAGGCAGCAGCUAAGAAUCUUGCGCAAUGGGCGAAAGCCUGACGCAGCAAUUCCGCGUGGGGGACGAAGGCCCUCGGGUCGUAAACCCCUUUUGUGAGGGAAGAAGUUCUGACGGUACCUCACGAAUAAGACACGGCUAACUACGUG
rnacentral:rRNA from 1 species